rnacentral:rRNA from 1 species
AACGAACGCUGGCGGCAUGCCUAACACAUGCAAGUCGAACGAGACCUUCGGGACUAUUGGCGCACGGGUGCGUAACGCGUGGGAACCUGCCCUUAGGGUCGGAAUAACUCCCCGAAAGGGGUGCUAAUACCGGAUAAUGUCUUCGGACCAAAGAUUUAUCGCCUUUGGAUGGGCCCGCGUUGGAUUAGCUAGUUGGUAGGGUAAAAGCCUACCAAGGCGACGAUCCAUAGCUGGUCUGAGAGGAUGAUCAGCCACACUGGGACUGAGACGCGGCCCAGACUCCUACGGAAAGCAGCAAUGGGGAAUAUUGCACAAUGGAGGAAGGCAUGAUGGAGCAAUGAUGCGUGAGUGCUGAAGGCCUUAGGGUUGUAAAGCUCUUUUACCCGGGCUGAUAAUGACGGUACCGUGAGAAUAAGCUCCGGCUAACUCCGUG